GUGAUCUCACACUAGCUCAUGGGUUUUCAGUUUCAGUUUCAGUUUCCCCCUUUGUAUAGAUGUAAUCCACAUGAGCCACCAGAGUUCUUCUGAUCAAGCACUCAUCUUCCUCCACUCCUUCACAGCUCUCCUCGGUCUCAGCUUUCUCUGCCUUCACAUUCAGAGAAUCACUAGCGAAGCCAGGCUCCUGGCGAGCAGCAUGAGUAACCACCAAGGUGAGGACAAGGACUAGGGCAAAAAUGGUGCCGAGCUUAGGCAUGUUUGCUAUUCAACCGUGGAUUGUUUUCU
rnacentral:misc_RNA from 1 species